UCAGUCGUAUGCCUGGAAUUCCGCUAGUUCUGAACUAUUCGUGAUUGGCAAAAGUUCACUACUAGCAGAACUCGGAUAUACAACUGAAUUCUCAACGACAGCUCAACAUAGUAGCACGGUUUAGUCUCGCAUGACCUGCCAAUGGACAAGCGCUAUUAUCACGGUAUUUAGCACUGAAUGUUUAUUGAACUUUUAUAUACUUUGAGUGGAAUUAUUCCAUAAAAGAGAUGUCAAUCUAACAUGGGCAAACCUUUGCUUUCACUGCUCAUUGUUUCGUUGACAUCGUUUGUGGUUUAAUUUCUAUCGAGUUGAUCUUGAUUUGACUGUGUUAGGAUGGCAAAAGCUAACAUCACAUUCUCUCUCUGCCCUUUUGUUCUUGUUUUGGAAGUGAACAACCCACUGAAUAAAAUACAUGAACAAGACUGGAUAUGCUACUCAAAACUAAAGAAUAAUGGUCUUCAUCGUGAUUUGAAAUACUUUCAUGUUGUACUUGUUGUCAUUUGUAACAGGAAAUAAUAAUUCAUAUAUUCAAUACAAACUAUUGUACUGUGUGAGGCAACUCUGAAUAAUGUAACAACAUGAUUCUUUCUUUCUUUGCAUUUAUUGUACAUUUUAAUAUGAUAAUAAUGAUCUACUAACUCUACAUGUUCAGCAAGCCAAGACCAAGUUACAAAAAUGUUGACAUUAAAAGCAAAAAUUCCUA
rnacentral:lncRNA from 1 species